rnacentral:rRNA from 1 species
UGAGGAAUAUUGGUCAAUGGACGCAAGUCUGAACCAGCCAAGUAGCGUGCAGGAUGACGGCCCUAUGGGUUGUAAACUGCUUUUAUAUGGGGAUAAAGUGGGAACGUGUUCCCUUUUGCAGGUACCAUAUGAAUAAGGACCGGCUAAUUCCGUGCCAGCAGCCGCGGUAAUACGGAAGGUUCGGGCGUUAUCCGGAUUUAUUGGGUUUAAAGGGAGCGUAGGCCGUUUGGUAAGCGUGUUGUGAAAUGUAGGAGCUCAACUUCUAGAUUGCAGCGCGAACUGUCAGACUUGAGUGCGCACAACGUAGGCGGAAUUCAUGGUGUAGCGGUGAAAUGCUUAGAUAUCAUGAAGAACUCCGAUUGCGAAGGCAGCUUACGGGAGCGCAACUGACGCUGAAGCUCGAAGGUGCGGGUAUCGAACAGG